rnacentral:SRP_RNA from 1 species
GCCAGGUGUGGUGGUGCACGCCUGUAGUCCCAGCUACUGGGGAGGCUGAGGUGGGAGGAUCACCUGAGCCUGGGAGGUUGAGGUUGCAGUGAGUCGAAAGUGCGCCACUGCACUACAACCCCGGGCAACAGGGUAAGACCCUGUCUUGA